GACGAACGCUGGCGGCGUGCUUAACACAUGCGAGUCGAACGGAAAGGCCCUGCUUUUGUGGGGUGCUCGUGUGGCGAACGGGUGAGUAACACGUGAGUAACCUGCCCUUGACUUUGGGAUAACUUCAGGAAACUGGGGCUAAUACCGGAUAGGAGCUCCUGCUGCAUGGUGGGGGUUGGAAAGUUUCGGCGGUUGGGGAUGGACUCGCGGCUUAUCAGCUUGUUGGUGGGGUAGGUGCUUACCAAGGUUUUGACGGGUAGCCGGCCUGAGAGGGUGACCGGCCACAUUGGGACUGAGAUAGGGACCAGACUCCUACGGGAGGCAGCAGUGGGGAAUAUUGCACAGUGGGCGGAAGCCAGAGGCAGCAACGCCGCGUGCGGGAUGACGGCCUUCGGGUUGUAAACCGCUUUCGCCUGUGACGAAGCGUGAGUGACGGUAAUGGGUAAAGAAGCACCGGCUAACUACGUG
rnacentral:rRNA from 1 species